AAACCGGUUUUUAUGAAAACCAUUAAAACAAUAUUAUCAUUUUUAU
rfam:Anaeromyces robustus strain S4 BCR32scaffold_11, whole genome shotgun sequence.